GAUGGCCUGGGUCGAGGAGGCCUGGGCGCCCACGGUGCGGCCCUUGAAGUUGGUCUGGGCGUCGGUGAUGUCCGAGUCCUUGGGCACCGCCA
rnacentral:tRNA from 3 species